UACGGAGGGAGCUAGCGUUGUUCGGAAUUACUGGGCGUAAAGCGCACGUAGGCGGCUUUGUAAGUUAGAGGUGAAAGCCCGGGGCUCAACCCCGGAAUUGCCUUUAAGACUGCAUCGCUUGAAUCCGGGAGAGGUGAGUGGAAUUCCGAGUGUAGAGGUGAAAUUCGUAAGAUAUUCGGAAGAACACCAGUGGCGAAGGCGGCUCACUGGACCGGUAUUGACGCUGAGGUGACGAAAGCGUGGGGAGCAAACAGG
rnacentral:rRNA from 1 species